UACGUAGGGUCCGAGCGUUGUUCGGAUUCACUGGGCGUAAAGGGUGCGUAGGUGGUGAGGUAAGUCGGAUGUGAAAGCUCCGAGCUCAACUCGGAAAUGGCAUUGGAAACUACCUUGCUAGAGGGUUUGAGGGGGGACUGGAAUACUUGGUGUAGCAGUGAAAUGCGUAGAUAUCAAGUGGAACACCAGUGGCGAAGGCGAGUCCCUGGAAAACUCCUGACACUGAGGCACGAAAGCUAGGGGAGCAAACAGG
rnacentral:rRNA from 1 species